rnacentral:tRNA from 1 species
GGAGUGAUGCUCGAGUGGCUGAAGAGGCACGCCUGGAAAGCGUGUAAACGGCAAAACCGUUUCCCGAGUUCGAAUCUCGGUCGCUCCGCCC